CCUGGAGGCGGAGCCUCGGGGCCAGGAGCCAUCAGUCAGCGAGGGGACGCAUGUUGUUCCCAGGCCCUUUGGCUCAGUCAUUCAGCCCCGCGGAUGAUGAUCAGAUCCGACUGGCUAUUAAUAACAAUCAAGAAGGCCUUUGAUGGGGAUAGGCCAGUGGAAUGAAGCCCUUACUAAAGCAAGAGACCCGAUCAUUCUCGUCUUUCACGAGGGGACUUCCAGCAGAGGGAUCCUGCGGGAAAUUGGUUCGUACAUUGUCCAAGUACGUGAUCUUGCGCCCCCGUGAUUAAUGCCUCAACCAUUUUACGCCCGUUCUCUGGCAGGUCGGAGGAACUGCUGGCACACGAGGGGUGGGAAUAGAAUAAAGUGUGCUAGAUGUGGCACCAAGAAACUCUCAAACGCUCAAAAGGGUCAAAAAAUAUUAUCCUUCUCGUUCCAAGC